AGUGGACGCUGGCGGUAGGCCUAACACAUGCAAGUCGAACGGCAGCACAGGAGAGCUUGCUCUCUGGGUGGCGAGUGGCGGACGGGUGAGGAAUACAUCGGAAUCUACUCUGUCGUGGGGGAUAACGUAGGGAAACUUACGCUAAUACCGCAUACGACCUACGGGUGAAAGCAGGGGAUCUUCGGACCUUGCGCGAUUGAAUGAGCCGAUGUCGGAUUAGCUAGUUGGCGGGGUAAAGGCCCACCAAGGCGACGAUCCGUAGCUGGUCUGAGAGGAUGAUCAGCAACACUGGAACUGAGACACGGUCCAGACUCCUACGGGAGGCAGCAGUGGGGAAUAUUGGACAAUGGGCGCAAGCCUGAUCCAGCCAUACCGCGUGGGUGCAGAAGGCCUUCGGGUUGUAAAGCCCUUUUGUUGGGAAAGAAAUCCAGCUGGCUAAUACCCGGUUGGGAUGACGGUACCCAAAGAAUAAGCACCGGCUAACUUCGUGCCAGCAGCCGCCGUAA
rnacentral:rRNA from 1 species